CAACAAAGUCCCAGGUGCUUGUUAUAUGGAGAUGAUAAUUAAGGUACUGUUUUGUGGAAGUAGACUUGCUUUAAGAAAAGCAGCUCCUCCAGCACUUGGGCUGCAGGAGAAGCUGUGUCAUAGUUAAUCGUAGGGCUGCUCUUUGUAAAGCAAACUCUUCUCUUCCAGCAGCCUGAGGAGCUCUGGAGGUGGGGAGGUGCCGCGUGUGGUCAGCUCUGCACUGUGCUGCUCUGCUCUCUGGGAGAUGCAGUACUGCUCACUGCAAAUGAAGAGGAACACAGCAUCCUCAGGGCAUUAAAGCAAAUAUAAAAGGCAAUGAAACGUUGCAUCCCAGCUGCUUUCAGCUCCAAAUUGCAAAGCUCAGACAUACUCUCUUUCAAACCAGACGUCUGCAAUGGACUUUUGCAGCCACGUGGGUUCACACCCAGCACUGCUGUGCCCUGAGGAUGUUGCACGGUGCCUUGAGGAUGCUGCCCACCCCCUGUGGUUCUCUGCUGCUCUCCAUUGCACUUCCUGAGGGAAGGGGAAAUGGCUCAGAUUGUGAAUGUGCAAGCAGCUUUACCUGGAGAAGCUCUCAUGACCUUUCAAGGGCUGUAGGAGACCUAUACCCAGCGCCAGGAGCUGUGCUUGUUGAGAAGCAGGAGCAGACGGGAACAAGCACUUAAAAAUGUACACUGCUAAGACUGUGAUAACAGGACCUGGGGAGAAAGGCUUCAUAACUAUCAGUUUUUGGCAUGUAGUUCUACACUGUCUGGUAAUACAGGUGAAUCAUGUCUUUUGAAACCCUUUCUUUAAAAUUAGCUUAAAUGAAGGCGCAGGAGUGAGCGUUCUUGACCCUGGGCACUUCUACAGAAUGUACAGUGAAGCUGAUUGCUGAAUUAUCUGGCUUCUAUUUGUGAGAUGGGGAAAAGUCCUGCAGGCACGUGGAAGGUAUCCUGGAACUAAGGCAGGCAGUGAUGUGCCCGUGACAGCUGACCUCAUCCUGGCUGGGUGGAUUCAUGCCCUUA